UACGUAGGGAGCAAGCGUUGUCCGGAAUCAUUGGGCGUAAAGGGUGCGUAGGCGGUUUGUUAAGUCAAAUGUGAAAUACACUGGCUCAACCAGUGGGCUGCGUUUGAAACUGGCAGACUUGAGUAUAGGAGAGGAGAGUGGAAUUCCUGGUGUAGCGGUGAAAUGCGUAGAUAUCAGGAAGAACAUCGAUGGCGAAGGCAGCUCUCUGGCCUAAUACUGACGCUGAGGCACGAAAGCGUGGGGAGCAAACAGGAUUAGAUACCCUGGUAGUCCACGCCGUAAACGAUGGAUACUAGGUGUAGGGGGUUCGAUUCCCUCUGUGCCGGAGUUAACGCAAUAAGUAUCCCGCCUGGGGAGUACGGUCGCAAGAUUGAA
rnacentral:rRNA from 1 species